ACCGAGCAACGCCGCGUGAGUGAAGAAGGUUUUCGGAUCGUAAAGCUCUGUUGUAAGAGAAGAACGAGUGUGAGAGUGGAAAGUUCACACUGUGACGGUAUCUUACCAGAAAGGGACGGCUAACUACGUGCCAGCAGCCGCGGUAAUACGUAGGUCCCGAGCGUUGUCCGGAUUUAUUGGGCGUAAAGCGAGCGCAGGCGGUUAGAUAAGUCUGAAGUUAAAGGCUGUGGCCUAACCAUAGUACGCUUUGGAAACUGUUUAACUUGAGUGCAAGAGGGGAGAGUGGAAUUCCAUGUGUAGCGGUGAAAUGCGUAGAUAUAUGGAGGAACACCGGUGGCGAAAGCGGCUCUCUGGCUUGUAACUGACGCUGAGGCUCGAAAGCGUGGGGGGCAAACAGGAUUAGAUACCCUGGUAGUCCACGCCGUAAACGAUGAGUGCUAGGUGUUAGACCCUUUCCGGGGUUUAGUGCCGCAGCUAACGCAUUAGCACUCCGCCUGGGGAGUACGAACGCAGGUUGAAACUCAAG
rnacentral:rRNA from 1 species